CAAAGAAUAUUAGUCAAUGCUCGCAAGAGUGAACUAGCUAACUGAAAUCACAGGAUCCACUACGUGUGGAGAAUGUUAUAACGUAAGGGAAAAAAAUGAUAUUACCUUACUAUUAGUGUUGUCCAAAACUGGUGCCAGAAGACUCGGUAAGGCCAGAGACGCAAACGUUAGUCGUCCUAAUCAGGCGUAAAGGGUAUGUAGGCUGCUUUAAAAGUUUAGUUUUAUAUUUUAAUAGCUCUGUUUAAAUUUUAUUUUGAAUUUUAACAGUAAAAUAUACAAUGAAUUAAAGCUAGGAUCAAAUUGAGGAUAAUUUAAAUAAUACUUAGUGGAGGGUUUACAUCUGUUGAUAUUAAGGGGAGUACUAACGGUGAAAGCUUUUUAUCUAGAAAUGAUUGACGCUGAGAAACGAAGGUGAGAAUAGGAAAUAGGAUUAGAUACCCAGAUACCUCUCACAGUCAACGAUGAAUGGUGGUUGUUAGUUAGUUUUAUUUAACUGAUAACGAUGUUAACACGAUAACCAUUCCGCCUUGCGAGUACGGUUGCAAAACUGAAACCAAAAAAAUUAGUCGGUCUCGAAGCAAACGAAGUGAAGCAUGUUAUUUAAUU
rnacentral:rRNA from 1 species